GAUGAACGCUGGCGGCGUGCCUAAUACAUGCAAGUCGAGCGAACGGACGAGAAGCUUGCUUCUCUGAUGUUAGCGGCGGACGGGUGAGUAACACGUGGAUAACCUACCUAUAAGACUGGGAUAACUUCGGGAAACCGGAGCUAAUACCGGAUAAUAUUUUGAACCGCAUGGUUCAAAAGUGAAAGACGGUCUUGCUUUCACUUAUAGAUGUAUCCGCGCUGCAUUAGCUAGUUGGUAAGGUAACGGCUUACCAAGGCAACGAUGCAUAGCCGACCUGAGAGGGUGAUCGGCCACACUGGAACUGAGACACGGUCCAGACUCCUACGGGAGGCAGCAGUAGGGAAUCUUCCGCAAUGGGCGAAAGCCUGACGGAGCAACGCCGCGUGAGUGAUGAAGGUCUUCGGAUCGUAAAACUCUGUUAUUAGGGAAGAACAUAUGUGUAAGUAACUGUGCACAUCUUGACGGUACCUAAUCAGAAAGCCACGGCUAACUACGUG
rnacentral:rRNA from 1 species